rnacentral:rRNA from 1 species
CUGGGCGUAAAGGAUGCGUAGGCGGAUAUUUAAGUGAGAUGUGAAAUUCCCGGGCUUAACUUGGGAGCUGCAUUUCAAACUGGAUAUCUAGAGUGUGGGAGAGGAGAAUGGAAUUCCUAGUGUAGCGGUGAAAUGCGUAGAGAUUAGGAAGAACACCAGUGGCGAAGGCGAUUCUCUGGACCAUAACUGACGCUGAGGCAUGAAAGCGUGGGUAGCAAACAGGAUUAGAUACCCUGGUAGUCCACGCCGUAAACGAUGAGUACUAGGUGUAGGAGGGUCCAACCUUCUGUGCCGCAGUUAACACAAUAAGUACUCCGCCUGGGAAGUACGAUCGCAAGAUUAAAACUCAAAGGAAUUGACGGGGGCCCGCACAAGCAGCGGAGCAUGUGGUUUAAUUCGAAGCAACGCGAAGGACCUUACCUGGACUUGACAUCCCCUGAAUUACUCGUAAUGGAGGAAGCCCUUCGGGGCAGGGAGACAGGUGGUGCAUGGUUGUCGUCAGCUCGUGUCGUGAGAUGUUAGGUUAAGUCCUGCAACGAGCGCAACCCUUAUCAUUAGUUGCUACCAUUAAGUUGAGCACUCUAGUGAGACUGCCCGGGUUAACCGGGAGGAAGGUGGGGAUGACGUCA